rnacentral:lncRNA from 1 species
UUACUCUCGACAUUGUAGUAGAUGACAUAUAAAUGCUUGUUUUGCUUGCACAGGGAUAAUACGAUUUCAUCACCAAUCAUUCCAAUAAUGCGCAUGGUCUCCGUAACUAUAUUCUUCCACGAAGGUGGUAAUACGUAUACAUGCUUGGACCACUCAUGUUUUGCAGCGUCUCCUAGAACCCACAGCUCAAAACUUCUACUUGUUCUUUCUAGAUUAACAUAUGUAGAAUCUCCUGACAUAAGCAAGCCUAGUUUGCCAUUGUAGUUUACUAGAGUUGGUUCUUUACAGGAAGUUCCCAAGAACUUGACAGAGCUGAACUUCUCAGUCCUCAAAUCAAAACAAACGACCAUAGACUCCACGAUAUACUCCACACUAGAUAUGCAUGGUGCGCCGGCUUUGUAGUACAAAACACCACUGAUGCAUAUAGGCAUGGAAGAAGAAGGCAAAUGACCACAGAUGUAUACAGCAAUGGAAGAAGAAGGCAAAUGAGGUAUGCAACAUUGGACCUUCCUCCAUGACAAUCUUUUAGUUCCUAAUGUCAGAACCUGGUGGUCCACAGAGAUGUAAACAUUAUUUACACGCGAAAAGGCCAUUGACAAUACCUUGUAUUCUUUGGCAAUGGGGUCAUAUCCAAGAUAUGUUUCCACUUCAUACCUCGUCCUCGACUUCAAUCUUGGUAAGGUCAAGGACUGUCCCGUGCUAGGGUUACAUAUCACCGUGACGAACUUUGAAUCAUUUUUCAGCCCCUCAAAUCCACAAACGAAUAAGCCAUUGGUACAACCUAAGAAUCUAGUGUAUCUGCGGAAAGGCGCAAGAUGAUUGGCGGCGGCUACAGCAGACGAGUCACCUUCCAUAUUUUGAGGCUGAGGUACCGACCAAAAGCAAAUAUCGAACUUAGCUUCGCAGGAGAAAAGGAUCUGAGGGCGCGCACAAGAUUUGGUCAAAAACGACUGUAUAAAAUCUUGACUGCAAAGCAUGGAGGACCAGAGCUUGCAUACGCACCGACAUCUCGCAAUCACCUUCGACGGCAACCUCGAGAAUAUCUCGAAAACGAGUUCAUCAGGAAUCGGCAACGAGAUUUGCUGAGGGCUGGUCAUCGAUCGAGUAACGCGUCGAGUACCCCAGACGUUCUGCCGCGGUGGUUUCAUGGCGGAGACAGAUUCCAGAAGAGUUGGUAUUGGACCAAGAGUUUUGUACCAGAUGCAGAGGUAUGGUGCUGUCAAUAAGCUACAUCAAUACAGUUCUGCAAACUCUGCAAGCAUUCCUCCUGAACGUUACAACAACAGCGUAGAAGUUAUUAGCAACUUGUACACACUUACAAGUAGCCAACUGAUAUGUAGAGGUCAAACAUGUUACAGUAAUUCAACGUAAUGAACAUCAAAAAUCCAAUUACAAACUCAAAAAAAAAAAAAAAACAGUGGAGAAAAUUGAGUAACCUGAGCAGGUGUUAGAUCAAAGGUAGAAUGUGUGUCACUAUCUCUUAGCUGAGCACAAACACAUGAAAGACCUCGGCACACCCUCAGCUAUAGAAAAAAAGCAAACAAACUUCAAGAAAUGAAUACUAGCUGGCUAGCUGCUGAUCUCUUAGCUGUUGUUCACAGUUUUAGUGUAUCUUCAUCUAGAUCUCUAAUACACACAACUUCCUACAAAAAAACACCAGAUAUCUACCAAACUAGACACAAAAAUAAAAGGUUUAAGAGGAAUAUACUACAAAUCUCUGCAAUAGACUAAGCUUUAAUCAACAAACACCAUGAUCCUUGACAAUAAACUCUCAUCCACAGCAGAUAAUACGGAGAAACCAAGCAAAAGCUUACAGAAUGCGCAAAUAGAGAGUAUAUCAGAAACAAACAGGCAGUGUAUAGAGAGAUACACACAGAAAAAAAAAAUCUAAUUUAAACACAAAUAAAGACCCUCGCCUAACCAAGCUGCUGAUCCAAGUCACACACCCUCAGCUAUAAAGGAAACAAAUAAACUUCAACGGAUGAAUACUAGCUGCUGAUCUCUUAGCUGUUGUUCACAGUUCUAGUGUCUCCUCAUUACGUGAAAUCAAGCUACGAUCACUAUCUCAACUCCUACAUAAACAUCAUAACUCUACAAAACUAUACGCAUAAAAACAAAAGCUAAUCAAUUACUCUCAUCCGUAGCAGAAUCAGAUAAUCCAUAAACCAAGCAAAGCGCACAGAAAACAAAAGCGUAGUGUUGUACCAGAAGAGGACGAACGAGCCUUCUCUAUCGUACAUCCCUGAAUGCUCCUUCCGAUUUAACCUCAGAAUCUCUUGUAUCAUCCUGUGACAAUCAUCAGAUACAUAACCAAAAAUACGCAAUAGAAUUUGUAAAAAUGAUUGCCUGAUCAAAUACACAGACGCAAAUGAGAAUCACAAGUCGAGAAGGAGGGUUCAGUUAAUUGAAUCAAAGUUCCGAUCAAACUCGAGGACUGGUUCGCGAAGCUUGAGCACGAGGACGACGAAGAAGAGUUGUCUCGAAGAUGCAACAAGCAAGAAAUCUACUGAGUCACGUGUAGUUAUCGGCGCGAUUGAGAGAAUCAAUCCGAAUUAAUUUCGGGGAAAAAUAAAAAUUAGAUACUAAGCGAUGGGCUUGGGCUGGGAUAAGAAACAGGUGGAAAUUGGGCUGGGGGACCCCGCGAUUCAUAGCUUCCGAUAGCCCAAAAAAAACGGAUAACAUAUUUACUGGGUAUUUGAAUUUCAGUGAAAUUCACCACUAUGUAUAUAUAUAUAUAUAUAUAUAGCUAGAAAUGAAAUCAUGAUCAUCUACUUUAUAAACUGUAUUCUUUUCCCAUUAUGUUUUGUAGUUACAAGCGAGCAUCUCAGGGGAUGAUGGAGCGCGUAGGAGCAUGGUGGAUCCAACGGUCCAUAGAACCUGUUCAGACCAAUCACUGAAGACAAUGAUGGAGAUAUGUGUAAAGUUUCUCCUCAAAGACCCUUUAGAACGUCCUUCCAUUGAAGAUGUUCUUUGGAAUCUUCAGUUUGCUUCUCAAGUCCAAGAAGUUGGCUACGUAACAGCAAUCCUCCGAGCACUCGCGGCUUGCCUUCUCCUGCAGCUUCCUCUCGUUUACACAUAACAACACUCGAAUCACCACGCGAUUCAGGUAGUUUUAAAUAUGAGAGCUGAGACUGAAUGAGUUUCUUGAUCUGAGAGUCAUAUCGUGCUUGUGUGUCUGUAAAUUGCAGGAUAUGAAGAGCAUGAGAGGUAGAGGAGACAAGAGUUUUGGUUUGGUCCGUUGUGAGUUCUUCUUCACUUCCCUUCAACUUCUUUAUUUUGUACCUCUCUCUCGAUCAUCUCGAAGAAUGUAACUCGAUAUUCUUCUCCAUCCAGACCAAAACGACACACAAAAAUAAAACAACAUAAUAAUAGAUCUGCACGUUAAGCAAAAUAGUAAACAUUAUUAUCCAUCAUCCACAAGAGGUGGGGUUUCCAAACUAAGAUGCUAAAGGAAAAAAAAAAUAAACACACAAAAUGAAAGCUACACUUCUCUCACUUGAAAUGCUUAAAAAAGCUUAACAUCCUCAACGUAGUUGAGAUAGGUCUUGAGAUAACAACCCCGAUACACGUCCAUUCCUUGGACUCCAACCUUUGUGAUCAUCUUACUCUCGACAUUGUAGUAGAUGACAUAUAAAUGCUUGUUUUGCUUGCACAGGGAUAAUACGAUUUCAUCACCAAUCAUUCCAAUAAUGCGCAUGGUCUCCGUAACUAUAUUCUUCCACGAAGGUGGUAAUACGUAUACAUGCUUGGACCACUCAUGUUUUGCAGCGUCUCCUAGAACCCACAGCUCAAAACUUCUACUUGUUCUUUCUAGAUUAACAUAUGUAGAAUCUCCUGACAUAAGCAAGC